rnacentral:rRNA from 1 species
CCUGCUAAAUAGGGUCAAGAACUUUGUGUUCUUGUAUCACUUCUUAGAGGGACUUUGCGUGUCUAACGCAAGGAAGUUUGAGGCAAUAACAGGUCUGUGAUGCCCUUAGAUGUUCUGGGCUGCACGCGCGCUACACUGAUGCAUCCAACGAGUUUACAACCUUGGCCGACAGGUCUAGGUAAUCUUUUGAGUAUGCAUCGUGAUGGGGAUAGAUUAUUGCAAUUAUUAAUCUUCAACGAGGAAUGCCUAGUAGGCGCAAGUCAGCAGCUUGCGCCGAUUACGUCCCUGCCCUUUGUACACACCGCCCGUCGCUCCUACCGAUUGAGUGUUCCGGUGAAUUAUUCGGACUGUUCCGUGUCGCGUACCCGCGUCCGGAAUGGGAAG